AAGAUUGCUCUGCCAUUGAGCAGGUGUGCAGAACUGAGAGUCAGACUGCUUGUGUUUAGGUCUGCACUAACUAGCUGUGUGACCUUGGGCAAGUUACUUCCUUCUCUGUGCUUUCAUUUCUCCCUUUGUAAAAUGGAAAUCAUAAAGUAUCUAUUUCAUAGAGUUGCAUGUGAGGAUUAAAUGAGUUAAUACAUUUAAAGUAUUGUAAAUAGUGCCUGGCAGAUAGUAAGCACUAUAAAAAUGAGCAGUAUUAGUAGUGGUGGUCUUCCUGGAGGUGGUGGCCGUGAUGGUGGUAGUAGUCAUAGUAAGGUGGAACAAAAAGGAACCAUGGAAAUGAAAGGUGUCAAAGCCAUGGGGUUUUAGCCAGCAAGGUAAGGCAGGAGUCCAGGAGGACAAUAAGAAACCGAGUUAAAGAAUGAAAGAAGUAGAUUGGGGUUUAGGUGAAGUUGGGGUAGGACAGCUGACCACAUUCGUUUCUGACUGUGAGACUGCGGUUCACCGUGGCGAGCCUGGCUGGUCAAAGUUGCAGCCACUUUUAUAACAAAGUGAACUUGGGGUUUAUUAACCUCCUGCUCUAAUAAACAUUCAAAAAUGAAGAUUUAUGUUUUAAAAUACAGAUAUUUUUCUCCCAAAUUCUAGUUCCUGCAAAUUUGUAUGAAAUAUAAUAAUGGCGCUGAUUUUUCUGUCCUAAGAUUUUUUGGUCUCUUUUUCAGUUUUGUAAUUUACUAUAUUUAAACGAUGUUUGAGGAAAGAUCUAGGGCAUUCGAGGCAGGAGCCAUGAAAGGCCAGGCUGGUCGCACCACCAGAGCCCGCGACAACGGCCACAUCGGGGCCACACAUCUCUGGCAAAGACGAUUCUCCCAAAGGGUGGCUGGGGAAGGCAGAUGAAAGACGGAAGCUGGGUCAUGUGACAGGUGUCACUUGAGCAACAUACUGGGGCGGGAGAUGAAAGCCGCUCCUUCUGGUCACAUGACGCAGCUUCAUUACGCGCCCAGCGGGGGGCCGGAGAGUCUGGGUGCGGUUUUUACUUAUUUAUUUAUUUGUGUUUUUCCCCCUUAUUCUGUGAUAAUGAGAAAAUGUUUAAACUCCCGUCUCUGUGUUUAAACCCUUCUUCCUGCUGACAGCAGCAGGGUGCCCUUGAUCACCUGUCAGAGUGGAAAGUCCAAUUUCUCUGGAAAGUAAACAGCGUGUUAGCUGGUUGGAAAUCAUCUUCUGUUUAUUGGUAGCUGUUAGUCCAGGAGUGAUGGAGCCCCGAGACAGCACUUGUCAAGUGAGGAAAAAGAAACAAGUUUAGAAAUGCCUUUAAGACACAGCUCUGACAAUAGGGCCUUACUAUUUUUUGAUAGAAAUGUACUCUAAAAAAGUUAAAUUAAAACAGGCAAAAAAACUUUCCGGGUGUUACCAGCUCCUGGAGAUCUUUCUGGCAAAACUGACACAGAAUCGAAGGCAAACUCACAGAACACUGGGGUUAGAAAGGUCCUUGGCCGUCACUAAUCCAAUCCCUUUGUUUACCACUGGGGAAACUGAGGCUCAGCCAGACGCCGUGGACUCUCCUCACGAAUAAGCGGAAAACAUGAUAACCAUCAAUAUAAUAAAGAAAUAAGGUGACAUUUGCUUUUCAAAUUCACGUGUGAAGAUAAAUGGAAAAACCCUGGUGGAGGCAAUUCAAACAUCUGACCUACGUAUACUUAACAACCAGCUUUAAUAUCUCGUGUAUAAUGUGGGUCUUUUUUUCACAGAGUGGCUAAAAAAAAAUCAUCAUAGUCUCUUAUGGAUUAAACGCAUUGUCACCAGAAAAAAAUGGCUCCAAUAGAAGCAAUAUAUAUUCUCAAGCUAUAUACAGUCAUCGGUCCAUAUUUACCUUGAAUUUAGACUAAAUCUGAGGUCCUGAUUUGUCCCCAAGUUUGCCUACUUCUUCCUGAUGGCUGGAAAAGUAUUCCCAGCUGCCGCCGAGGUGCCUUCACCUGGACGUUUCCGACAAAUACGUCGUCCUCCUGUCCAGACACCUUCUCUGCCCGUCAUGAGCAAAGAGGUCCUCUUCCCACUUCAGUUAACAGCAUCACCACCCGCCGACCUCUCCAGCCAGCUCCAUCGUCCUCGAGUCUCGCUCGCCCCCCCUGCUCUCAGCACACCGAUUCUCUUCGUUCCCCAAUGCAGCAUUCUCUCCACAUCCUUAGACUGGCGCGCUUUGUGUUCCCUCCGCUUGGGACGUCCUUCUCCUUCCUUCCGCCUGGUAAACUCCUAUCCAUCCUUCGAGACUCAGCUCAAUGGCCGCCUUCGCUGCCUGCUCCAGCCCAGAGGUGACGCUCUGUCCUCUGGAAUCCUGGGGCACUCUGCUAUUACAUCGUAGUAUUGGUCCCAUUUCAUGGUAAUUAUUAGUGACACUUCUUUCUCCUUCACUAAAACUGCCUGCGUCAGGAGCAGGUUGGAAGAGUGCUUAGCUUUUAAAUUUUAUCCCCAGUGUCCGGUGUGGGUUGGAUGUUGAGAAGUUGCCCAAUAACCGUUGGUUAAGUGAGCGGAUUGAAAACAUAAUCAAGCACACUCGCAGCCUUUCACUGAGGUCAGGUCGCGGUGCCAGCCAGCUCUGCUCUCCGGGAACAGCAACGCUCAUGAAAGUUGUAUCACACAGGUGACGAGGAGUCAACCAAACCCAGGUGCUGUCACUCGCUGGCCUUCAUUUACACACCUUUAAAAUAGCGUCAAUAAUACCUUCUUUGUAGAGCCAGUAUGAGGAUUCGCUCUGUAACACCCCACAGCGUACUUGACACAGGGUAGGCACUGAAUAAAUUAAAGUUUUUAUGAUCCUAAUAAGUAAAACUAACUGAAAACAAAGUGAAACUGAGCAGCACAUCUGUUUAUGCGUCAGCGUCCCCUUUCAGAGUGUGGGCUCCACAGGCAGAAGCUGUCUU
ensembl:lncRNA